AUUAAUACUCUGAAGAACAUCAGAGAAGCUGGACAGACUCCACUCCCAGGAUAAUUUCUGUCUCGCCUCCAAAAGGACCUGGAUAAUUCCCAAGGUCUUAGGGCCUUUAACAUACAGCAUGAGGAGGAGAGGCAUAGGAGAGGACGGGGGCAAGGAGAUGGCCAGAAAGCCACAAGGGAGGGGCAGCGGGCCAGAUUCCAGCAAUAGGUCAUCCACCCUUGCCUAAGUGGCCUGGAAAAAAACCUUCUCCUGCGGUUCCAUGACCUGGACAUACUUGGGGCUUUCAGUGUCUUUGGACCUAAAUCGGCUGCUCAGCAAGAUGACUCUGCUAACAUUGACAAUCUGAGGAUUCUUGCCAAAAAAUUCUGCCCCGAGCAACAGAAUGAGGACCUGCAGGAGUGGACUUCAUUUAAGAACCAUGUCCUUACUGAGGCAUUCAAGGACAAGAACCAGGCUGACAUCCUUACUCUGCUGGCAAGUGAGUUCGACGAAUGUGAUAAUGUCCACCCUUGCCUCAGCCUCCUCGCAGACAUUGCCUUGGUGAUCCCUGUUUCAAGUGUUAAUUGUGAACAAGAUUUUUCUACUCUAAAUAGGGUGAAAACAGAACUGAGGAAUCAGCUGCAAGGAGAACACCUGGCUGCCUGCCUGAGAAUCUCUAUCAACGGACCUGACCCCAGAGACUUUCCUUACGAUAAGGCCUUACACUAUUUUUUUUCGGAAGCCCCGAAAAAUUAAUUGCUCUAACAAAGGGUGCAAAGUCUGCAGGCAGUAGGAAACACAUGGUUAGGUGUAGGGAGUAAAACUGAUGGCAUUGUAAAGUUCAAGAUUUUUGGA